AUUGAACGCUGGCGGCAUGCCUUACACAUGCAAGUCGAACGGCAGCACGGGAGCAAUCCUGGUGGCGAGUGGCGAACGGGUGAGUAAAGUAUCGGAACGUGCCCAGUCGUGGGGGAUAACGUAGCGAAAGUUACGCUAAUACCGCAUACGAUCUAUGGAUGAAAGCGGGGAUCGCAAGACCUCGCGCGAUUGGAACGGCCGAUAUCAGAUUAGGUAGUUGGUGGGGUAAAGGCUCACCAAGCCGACGAUCUGUAGCUGGUCUGAGAGGACGACCAGCCACACUGGGACUGAGACACGGCCCAGACUCCUACGGGAGGCAGCAGUGGGGAAUUUUGGACAAUGGGCGAAAGCCUGAUCCAGCCAUGCCGCGUGCAGGAUGAAGGCCUUCGGGUUGUAAACUGCUUUUGUACGGAACGAAAAGGUUUGUCCUAAUAAGCUGAGCUCAUGACGGUACCGUAAGAAUAAGCACCGGCUAACUACGUGCCAGCAGCCGCCGUAA
rnacentral:rRNA from 1 species